CAGCACCUCAAGUGGUCAGGAUGAUUAUUGGGCCUAAAGCAUCCGUAGCCGGCGCUGUAAGUUUUCGGUUAAAUCUGUACGCUCAACGCACAGGCUGCCGGGAAUACUGCAGCGCUAGGGAGUGGGAGAGGUAGACGGUACUCGGUAGGAAGGGGUAAAAUCCUUUGAUCUAUUGAUGACCACCUGUGGCGAAGGCGGUCUACCAGAACACGUCCGACGGUGAGGGAUGAAAGCUGGGGGAGCAAACCGGAUUAGAUACCCGAGUAGUCC
rnacentral:rRNA from 1 species